rnacentral:rRNA from 1 species
GACGAACGCUGGCGGCGUGCUUAACCCAUGCAAGUCGAACGGAAAGGCCUCUUUCGGGGGGUACUCGAUUGGCGAACGGGUGAGUAACACGUGAGUAACAUGCCCUUGACAUUGGGAUAACUUCAGGAAACUGGGGCUAAUACCGGCUAGGAGUUCCUGCUACAUGGUGGGGGUUGGAUAGUUUCGGCGGUUGGGGAUGGGCUGGCGGCGUAUCAGCUUGUUGGGGGGGUGGUGGCUUACCAAGGCUUUGCCGGGUAACCCGACUGAGAGGGUGACCGGCGGCACUGGGUCUGAGGGACGGCCGAGACUGCGACGGGAGGGAGCAGUGGGGAAUAUUGCACGAGGGGUGGAAGGCGGAUGCAGCAGGUCCGUGGGCGGGAUGACGGUCUUAGGGUUGUAGACCGCAUUCGCACAUGACGAAGCUUGGUGUGACGGUAGUGGGUAAAGAAGCAACGGCUAACUACGUG